rnacentral:rRNA from 1 species
UACGAAGGGGCUAGCGUUGCUCGGAAUCACUGGGCGUAAAGCGCACGUAGGCGGAUCGUUUAAGUCAGGGGUGAAAUCCCAAGGCUCAACCUUGGAACUGCCUUGAUACUGGGAUCUCGAGUCCGGAAGAGGUUGGUGGAACUGCGAGUGUAGAGGUGAAAUUCGUAGAUAUUCGCAAGAACACCAGUGGGCGAAGGCGGCC